rnacentral:tRNA from 2 species
AAGGAGUUAGUUAAUAAUAACGUUAGAAUGUCAAUCUAAAAUAACUAAUUAAUUAGUACACCUUG